ACUCGCGAAAGUCUCGGACCGGAUGAAAUAUUGAACUCCAAUCGAGAGCACAGUCAGAUCAAAUCGGGAUAUAGUGCCGGAAGGUGGGCCGGCAGGAUUCUCCAGUGAAAUUUGUUUGUCUCCGUAUGGUAGAUCCGCUUUGAAAACGCGACAUUCGCGUGACAAGAACCUGUUGUUGUUGCUGCGCUUUCGAUAAGUGUUCUAGCGGUAAAUUUUAGGCGGAAAAAUCGAUUGUUCUCGUUUGAUUGUUUUUGUUUUGGUGCACGGCUUCGUUACGCGAUUCCUGCAGUCCCCCCGCUCGGCCACCGACACGGCCACAUGACUCAUGCACGGCUGCAACAAUGAAAAGCCACAAUAAGUACGCCAAGUUGCCCCAAGACCUCGACUUGAGUUUCCAAAGCGAUCUGGACCUGCUGCCGGACACAGCGGCCGACAUCGAUCUCGACAUAGAUGUGGACGUGGAUGCCCUCAAUCUGAGCUCGCCCGCCGCUCUGGACCUCCUCGACGACGACGAGGACGACGAGAUUGUAAUUGCCACUGGUGUAGGCGGCGGCGGCGGAGGCGGCGCCAGUGACGGUGGUGGCAAGGGCGGCCUGCGUCUAGCACCAAAAACCAAGCAGCGCAAAAACCCAUUGGAACAGCAAAAGUUCCACAGCAAGAACAAAAUCUGCGGCCUUGGCAGCGACAGUAUUAUCGAGACGGGUUUAACCCUCACGCCAGAAAUGCUGCUCUCCACCUCGGAGUCAUCGACGCACAGCGCCUCCGAGGUUGCCGGCCGACUGCAGGUCGAUGUGCGGACCGGCCUCAAAUGGACGGAGGCCAAGUACCGGGCCAAGAUCAUUGGCCACAAUGAGCUGCUGCUGAUCGAGGAGGAGCCCACAUGGAAGAAGUACAUCGAGCAGUUCAGGAACCCUCUCAUCCUGCUGCUGCUCGGCUCGGCCCUGGUCUCGGUGAUCAUGAAACAGUUCGACGAUGCCGUCAGCAUAACCAUCGCCAUCCUGAUCGUGGUCACGGUGGCCUUCAUCCAGGAGUACCGCUCCGAGAAGAGCCUGGAGGAGCUCAAGAAGCUGGUGCCCCCCGAGUGCCACUGCCUGCGCGAGGGCCGCCUCGACACGUUCCUGGCCCGCGAGCUGGUGCCCGGCGAUGUGGUGCACCUCAACGUGGGCGAUCGUGUGCCCGCCGAUGUGCGUCUCUUCGAGGCCGUCGACCUCUCCAUAGACGAGAGCAGCUUCACGGGCGAAACGGAGCCGGCCCGCAAGAUCACCGACGUCCUGCUGAACAACACGAACGUGAAGGACCACAGCAACAUGAAGAACAUCGCCUUCAUGGGCACCCUGGUGCGCUGCGGCAACGGCAAGGGCAUCGUGGUCAGCACCGGGGAGCGCAGCGAGUUCGGCGAGGUCUUCAAGAUGAUGCAGGCCGAGGAGGCCCCGAAGACGCCGCUCCAAAAGUCAAUGGACAUCCUGGGCGCCCAGCUGAGCUUCUACUCGUUCCUCAUCAUCGGCGUCAUUAUGCUGCUCGGCUGGCUCCAGGGCAAGCCGCUCUCGGAGAUGUUCAACAUCAGCGUCUCGCUGGCAGUGGCCGCCAUACCCGAGGGCCUGCCCAUCGUCGUAACCGUCACCCUGGCCCUGGGCGUCAUGCGGAUGGCCAAGCGCAAUGCGAUCGUGAAGAAGCUGCCCACCGUCGAGACCCUCGGCUGCGUGAACGUCAUCUGCUCGGACAAGACGGGCACUUUGACCAAGAACGAGAUGACGGCCACGAUCAUCAUCACCUCCGACGGCUACAUGGCGGACGUGACCGGCGCCGGGUACAACGACCAGGGCGAGAUCCACAUCCGGCACUGCAACAACGUCGAAAUGGCCAAGACCAACAUCACGAAUCUCCUGGAGAUCGGAGCCGUCUGCAACAACGCGUACAUCCAGAACGGCACGCUCCUGGGCCAGCCCACCGAGGGAGCUCUGGUGGCGGUGGCCAUGAAGAACGGCAUGUACGCCACGGCCGAGAACUAUGUCCGCAUCCAGGAGUACCCGUUCAGCUCCGAGCAGAAGAUGAUGGCCGUCAAGUGCAUCCACAAGUACAACAACAACAAGGAGGAGUUCUUCUUCGCCAAGGGAGCGCUGGAGACGCUCCUGCCGCAGUGCACCAAGUACCAGUUCGGCACGCAGACCGUGCCCCUCACCAAGCAGAACGAGGCGGAGUUCCUCUCCGAGGCCUACGAGAUUGGACGCAAGGGCCUCAGAGUGCUGGCCCUGGCCAAGGGCCGCUCCAUGCAGGAUCUGAUCUACUGCGGCCUGGUGGGCAUCACCGAUCCGCCGCGGCCCCUGGUCAGGGAGUCCAUUGAGAUGCUGAUGCAGAGCGGUGUCCGGGUGAAGAUGGUCACGGGCGAUGCCCAGGAAACGGCCCUGGCCAUUGCCAAUCUCAUCGGCAUCGACACUAUCCACCACCAGACGCUGUCCGGGCAGGAGAUGGAUCAGCUGAACGAACACCAGCUGGACAAGGUGGCCAACAACGUGAGCGUCUUCUAUCGCGUCUCGCCGCGCCACAAGCUGGAGAUAGUCAAGUCGCUGCAGCGCACCGGCAACAUUGUGGGCAUGACUGGGGACGGGGUCAACGACGGAGUGGCCCUGAAGAAGGCGGACAUCGGCAUUGCCAUGGGCAAGAAUGGCACGGAUGUGUGCAAGGAGGCUGCCGACAUGAUCCUGGUCAACGACGAUUUCCACACCAUCAUAGCUGCCAUCGAAGAGGGCAAGGGCAUAUUUUACAACAUUCGGAACUUUGUGCGCUUUCAGCUGAGCACCUCGAUCGCUGCCCUGGCCCUGAUCGCUCUGGCCACGCUGAUGGACAUUGCCAAUCCGCUGAACGCCAUGCAGAUUCUAUGGAUCAACAUUAUUAUGGACGGGCCGCCCGCUCAGUCGCUGGGCGUGGAGCCCGUGGACCACGACGUGCUCAAGCAGAAGCCGCGGAACGUCAAGCAGCCGAUGAUCACCAAGUCGGUGGUGGCGAAUGUGCUGCUGAGUGCCAGCAUCAUAGUGCUGGGCACACUGUGGGUGUUCCAGCGCGAAAUGGCCGACGGCACUUUGGGGAAGACCAAGCGGGACACGACCAUGACCUUUACUUGCUUCGUAUUCUUUGACAUGUUCAACGCCCUGUCGUGCCGAUCGCAGACGAAGAGCGUGUUCACCAUUGGGCUGACAACCAACCGCAUGUUCCUGCUGGCCGUGGCCUUCUCGAUCAUUGGCCAAAUGCUGGUCGUGUACUUUCCACCGCUGCAGAUGGUCUUCCAAACGGAGGCCCUGACGCCCUACGACAUCCUUUUCCUGGUCACGCUCACCUCCUCCGUGCUGGUCGUCUCCGAGAUCAAGAAGUGGUUCGAGCGCACCAUGGAGCGCAAGAUGUACAGCACCCGCUCCGAGCUGGACUUCGUAUGACAAAACGCAAGCGCUAGAGACGAGUUGCACCCGAAAGCCGAGUAAAUUAAAUAACAAACAAAAAUAACAAAAAAAAGAGCAAAACUAUGCCAAAACCAAGUGAGGAGCGUGGUGGACUGGACCGACGAGCAGCAGCAGCAGCAGCAGGAGAGAAGCACGAGAGCAGCGAAGUGUGUGUUUAGUUUUACAUUUGACUCGACUCGACUCGAAAGUUAGCCAAAAUUUAAUCAGCAAAGCUGGGCGCAACUAGCCCCUAUUCCGGACUCCCAUAUUCCCAUAUACAUAAAUAUAUUCGACGUAAGCCUCAAGGUUCGCGUUAGCUCUCUCGUACAGCGCACACCAUUGGCUCCAUUGGCCCCAUGGGCCCCGGCCCCCCCGGGUUGGGCCGGCCAGGCUCAGUUUUCACUUACUUGCCAUCCAUUUUCAUUUAAGCUCCAAGUGCUGCUCUAGUUUAAGCUCCUAAACUGGCGAAUCAAGUCAUUUCAAAGUGUGUUUGAUGCGAGUAUGUCGGCGAAACAUUUUUAAUGUGAUAUUAUUUUAAGCUCAUAGACAACAGCAGCCUGCAAGAGAGCGGAUCGCAAAUUUAAGUUUCAAUUUAAGUUGGUUUGCUUCUCGGCUCGUGGCGGCGCCAAAUAUUUUCAUUUUGACAAAUAAAAGCAAACUGCAGCAAAUCCCCAAGA
rnacentral:misc_RNA from 1 species